CGAACCGGGGGAACUGAAACAUCUAAGUACCCCGAGGAAAAGAAAUCAACCGAGAUUCCCCCAGUAGCGGCGAGCGAACGGGGAGCAGCCCAGAGCCUGAAUCAGUAUGUGUGUUAGUGGAAGCGUCUGGAAAGGCGCGCGAUACAGGGUGACAGCCCCGUACACAAAAAUGCACAUGCUGUGAGCUCGAUGAGUAGGGCGGGACACGUGGUAUCCUGUCUGAAUAUGGGGGGACCAUCCUCCAAGGCUAAAUACUCCUGACUGACCGAUAGUGAACCAGUACCGUGAGGGAAAGGCGAAAAGAACCCCGGCGAGGGGAGUGAAAAAGAACCUGAAACCGUGUACGUACAAGCAGUGGGAGCACGCUUAGGCGUGUGACUGCGUACCUUUUGUAUAAUGGGUCAGCGACUUAUAUUCUGUAGCAAGGUUAACCGAAUAGGGGAGCCGAAGGGAAACCGAGUCUUAACUGGGCGUUAAGUUGCAGGGUAUAGACCCGAAACCCGGUGAUCUAGCCAUGGGCAGGUUGAAGGUUGGGUAACACUAACUGGAGGACCGAACCGACUAAUGUUGAAAAAUUAGCGGAUGACUUGUGGCUGGGGGUGAAAGGCCAAUCAAACCGGGAGAUAGCUGGUUCUCCCCGAAAGCUAUUUAGGUAGCGCCUCGUGAAUUCAUCUCCGGGGGUAGAGCACUGUUUCGGCAAGGGGGUCAUCCCGACUUACCAACCCGAUGCAAACUGCGAAUACCGGAGAAUGUUAUCACGGGAGACACACGGCGGGUGCUAACGUCCGUCGUGAAGAGGGAAACAACCCAGACCGCCAGCUAAGGUCCCAAAGUCAUGGUUAAGUGGGAAACGAUGUGGGAAGGCCCAGACAGCCAGGAUGUUGGCUUAGAAGCAGCCAUCAUUUAAAGAAAGCGUAAUAGCUCACUGGUCGAGUCGGCCUGCGCGGAAGAUGUAACGGGGCUAAACCAUGCACCGAAGCUGCGGCAGCGACGCUGAUGCGUUGUUGGGUAGGGGAGCGUUCUGUAAGCCUGCGAAGGUGUGCUGUGAGGCAUGCUGGAGGUAUCAGAAGUGCGAAUGCUGACAUAAGUAACGAUAAAGCGGGUGAAAAGCCCGCUCGCCGGAAGACCAAGGGUUCCUGUCCAACGUUAAUCGGGGCAGGGUGAGUCGACCCCUAAGGCGAGGCCGAAAGGCGUAGUCGAUGGGAAACAGGUUAAUAUUCCUGUACUUGGUGUUACUGCGAAGGGGGGACGGAGAAGGCUAUGUUGGCCGGGCGACGGUUGUCCCGGUUUAAGCGUGUAGGCUGGUUUUCCAGGCAAAUCCGGAAAAUCAAGGCUGAGGCGUGAUGACGAGGCACUGCGGUGCUGAAGCAACAAAUGCCCUGCUUCCAGGAAAAGCCUCUAAGCAUCAGGUAACAUCAAAUCGUACCCCAAACCGACACAGGUGGUCAGGUAGAGAAUACCAAGGCGCUUGAGAGAACUCGGGUGAAGGAACUAGGCAAAAUGGUGCCGUAACUUCGGGAGAAGGCACGCUGAUAUGUAGGUGAAGUCCCUCGCGGAUGGAGCUGAAAUCAGUCGAAGAUACCAGCUGGCUGCAACUGUUUAUUAAAAACACAGCACUGUGCAAACACGAAAGUGGACGUAUACGGUGUGA
rnacentral:rRNA from 1 species